GUUGAAAGACGGACUAAUACCCAAUGAUAUUCAUUGAUGACAUCUGAUUUGAAUUAAAGAUUUAUCGGUAUAGGAUGGGGAUGCGUCUGAUUAGCUUGUUGGUGAGGUAACGGCUCACCCAAGGCCACGAUCAGUAGGGGUUCUGAGAGGAAGGUCCCCCACAUUGGAACUGAGACACGGUCCAAACUCUACGGGAGGCAGCAGUGAGGAAUAUUGGUCAAUGGACGAGAGUCUGAACCAGCCAAGUAGCGUGCAGGAUGACGGCCCUAUGGGUUGUAAACUGCUUUUGUUUGGGAAUAAUCGACAUUACGUGUAAUGUUUUGCAUGUACCAUUCGAAUAAGGACCGGCUAAUUCCGUGCCAGCAGCCGCGGUAAU
rnacentral:rRNA from 1 species